GUUUCUGUAGUGUAGUGGUCAUCACGGUUGCUUUACACGCAAAAGGUCCCUGGUUCAAUUCCAGGCAGAAACA